rnacentral:rRNA from 1 species
GUGACAAACCGGAGGAAGGUGGGGAUGACGUCAAAUCAUCAUGCCCCUUAUGACCUGGGCUACACACGUGCUACAAUGGACGGUACAAAGAGCUGCAAGACCGCGAGGUGGAGCUAAUCUCAUAAAACCGUUCUCAGUUCGGAUUGUAGGCUGCAACUCGCCUACAUGAAGCUGGAAUCGCUAGUAAUCGCGGAUCAGCAUGCCGCGGUGAAUACGUUCCCGGGCCUUGUACACACCGCCCGUCACACCACGAGAGUUUGUAACACCCGAAGUCGGUGGGGUAACCUUUUUGGAGCCAGCCGCCUAAGGUGGGACAGAUGAUUGGGGUGAAGUCGUAACAAGGUAGCCGUAUCGGAAGGUGCGGCUGGAUCACCUCCUUUCUAUGGAGA